UACAGAGGUCUCAAGCGUUGUUCGGAUUCAUUGGGCGUAAAGGGUGCGUAGGCGGCGCGGUAAGUCGGGUGUGAAAUCUUGGAGCUUAACUCCGAAACUGCAUUCGAUACUGCCGUGCUUGAGGACUGGAGAGGAGACUGGAAUUUACGGUGUAGCGGUGAAAUGCGUAGAUAUCGUAAGGAAGACCAGUGGCGAAGGCGGGUCUCUGGACAGUUCCUGACGCUGAAGGCACGAAGGCCCAGGGGGAGCAAAACGGG
rnacentral:rRNA from 1 species